rnacentral:misc_RNA from 1 species
GAAAUGCGAUACUUGGUGUGAAUUGCAGAAUUCAGUGAAUCAUCGAAUCUUUGAACGCACAUUGCGCCCGCCAGUAUUCUGGCGGGCAUGCCUGUUCGAGCGUCAUUUCAACCAUCAAGCCCCGUGCUUGUGCUGGGGACCUGCGGCUGCCGCAGGCCCUGAAAACCAGUGGCGGGCUCGCUGUCACACCGGGCGUAGUAAUUACAUCUCGCUCAGGGCGUGCUGCGGGUUCCGGCCGUAAAAAGCCUUAUUUACCCAAGGUUGACCUCGGAUCAGGUAGGAAGACCCGCUGAACUUAA